rnacentral:lncRNA from 1 species
GGUUGGCAAGGAACAUGGUGCGACAGAUGGCAAUAGUAACAGUGAUCAGUCUAUGCUGUUGAAGGGAAUCAGCCACCAGUAGCUCAUGCUUAAAAUCCUAGCACUUUGGCUGUGCGUGGUGGCGCACGCCUUUAUGCCCAGCGCCUUUUGAUUUUGAAACGAGGUCUCAGUACAUAACCCUCACUGGCCCUGAACUCUUAACGUGACCUCAAGGCUCCCAAGUGCUCCAAUUAACAGGGAACUCACUGCCAUUCUUGUAGGAAAUGGCAUAUGCCUUUAAGGCAGAAAUAAGAAGUGGAAAACUAACUAUACUAUUCACAUAGUAGAGCAAGUGAUUUGCAUUUAUAUUUUCUUUCUUUAACAAAACAACACUGCAUGCCAGGAACAUUCACGUAACCGCCUGCGGCCACACUAACUGGGUUCCUAAGUGGGAGGCCGGAGCUGUAUGGAAGCAAACGGCGAGAGAAAUAAUGGAGGCCAAGACAUGUUUCUGUUCAAGGCCCCCAAGUUUACUAAGAGUCUGUGCUUAUAAAGGGGGGUGGCCCAUCCCCUGCCAAUCCAUUCUUGGUGCCUGUUGCCAGCCUGUAGGAUGCUGUCUACUGAAUAUCUCAAGGGCCUCUCAGCAGGUAGCAGCGUCUUGGUGAAGAGCAGCAGCAGGUGACAGAACAAUAGAGCCAUCUAAGUCAGAAGGGUCUACCCCAGGUGGUCUCAUACUCAGUGGCAGCGAGGUCUGAAUAGUUUUGCUGUUGGAAAUUAAACCUGAGGCCUCAUUCAUGCUAACCAUGUGGUCUACCGUGAGCUACCUUCAGUCUCUCCUGUCCCCUUUCUGCCAAAGAUGCAAAUGGCCAUAGAAAGAUGGAAUACAUUACCUAAGAUCACACCACUACGAAGUAGCCCAGUCAGCAUUCAAGCUGAGAGAAAUACCCAGCUCCAGUGUGUUCUUCUCUGCUACACGACACUGCCUCUUAUUAUUGUCUUGAGUUUUCCAGAAAAAAAGACUAUAAAGGUUCUUUUGUUUGUUUGUUUUUUGGUUUUGUUUUUUUUCCGAGACAGGGUUUCUCUGUAUCACCCUGGCUGUCCUGGAACUCACUCUGUAGACCAG